GCCACAUCAUCACUGGAAAAAGUGUCAUGUGGCACCUUAAAAAAAAUCCCAUCUCUCCAUCUUCUCAAACAAACCGUUCUUCCUGAGCUCCCCUUCCAGAAACUCAAUCCUUCCAAGUUCCAAUCCAUUGGACUCCCACAUUUGUAGUUUAUGCCACCUCCAUUUAUACCCUUCCUACUUAAACAGAUCAUAUGAAAUUCGACCCUCGAAUCGGAUCUGUAGUGUCAGUUGCUUGGAGAAGCUAGAACAGAUUGGCGAGAGGACUUACAGAACAUAGUAGCUGGGGUUUUCAAAUUCAUAUGGUUGGCUUUCAUUUUGGAGUCAAGUUACAUGGCUAAGUUACAUGGCUAAGGAAAUCAAACUUGUGAAAUCGUGGCACUGAAAAGAUCUGUAAAAAAAAAAGGAAAAGAAGGGGAUUCCGAUAACAGCAAUGACGUGGUAAGAUGAAUUGGUGGAGCUAAUGUUGAAAGCCAACACAGGUAUAUACUUUCCCCAAUCGAACCUUCAUACUGCUUGUAUUAUUAUUUUUUGGCGUGUGUUCUGCAAUUGACAUGUUCUUUUCAUCCCUUAAGGUUCGUUGGUGCUUAUUGUUAUAACCUUAAGGAAUAAAGGCCAAAAUGCCAAAACGAAUAACUUCUGCUCUACAAUCAAAUGAUCAGACCCUGGUAUUGUGUAGAUCUUAUUCUUUGUUUGGUGAAGACAAAAUGAGGAUAACUCGAUUUGAUGAUGUAUUCAUUCAGCAAUUCUUUUUCGUUUUGGUUUGAGUAGUUGUCCUUCAAGUUAGUUGAAUUGUUCUUACGAUCUAAGAUACUCUGACAUUACUAUGCCUCCAGCGCUUUUCCUUCUCCUCUUACAAGAACCUAAGUGACUGAAAUUGAAAAUUCGAACACUCAGUUUUUUGGUCUUGGAUAAGAACAAAUGUAAAAAGAGGAAAUAUAGGACUGACGAGCGGUGAAUCAGUGAAAACAGAAAGUAGCUUAUUUGGAUUGGUGUUGUCUUUCACUACAAAUUGGAAAAAGAUACCUGCUACUCCGUUUUCAUUCAUUUGCAUAACUUAAUAUUUUUCUAAGAUUCAUGGGUACUCUCAAUAAUUUUUUUCCCUGACAUUUUCUUUUUAUUCUCCAUUCUUUCAAACAUUUGAAGUUUUAAUAUUCUUUGAACAAAGCUCAUGUCUGAUCUCAUGUCUGAUCUGACUCCAGUAUUUGAUGUGCAUUUGUUUUAGGUAAAAGACCGAUGUUUCUGAGUGAUUUACCUUCAGAAAAGGUUAUGUCAUGCCAAACAUCGUACCACUGGCUUUGUUCUACUAGAAAAACCUUAAGUGGGAAAUUUUUGCUUACAUUUGGUAUUUAUUGACUAUUGGAAUUUUAAUGUUUCGUAUGAGGUACUGUCACCUUUAUUGGAAGUGUACUGAAGCAGUUUACGUUGGCUUUUUUUCCGUUGUCUAGGGUUUUUUUCUGGUGUUUCUCAUGUCUAUUUAACAGGGAGGAGUGUAAUCAUGCUGUAAUGCUGUUGUUGUUGCUAAUAUGUUGGGUUUUGAGAAUGGAAUAAUUCACACAUCUGAAACCGUAGCUGAUACCGUCACCUGUCAAGCUCGUGACUUGGUAGUAACAGAUAGCUGGGGUUGAGAGAAAAGAGGAAAUGAAACAGUGUGAUGCAAGUAGUCUCUGUAAUAGGGAAAAAGCUCAUGCCGACUCUACAGAUGUUGGUGAGAACACACAUCAAUAUCGUUCAAGAAAGCAAGGACCAAAAAAUUGGAUGGUGUGGUUUUAGUUGUGGUUCAGCUUCGAUUGAUGAGAAUCUGAAGCUAUCUAACUCAUAUUUGUGUGGUGUCUUGGACAAGUGUUUGAUACAUUUGUUGCAGCGAAAACACAAUGAAUUUCUUCAAGGAAGCAUCUGCCUUGGUUGCAUAUUAUCCUGCUUAACUCAGGUAGACUUUCGUGGUUGCUAUAACUUCUGCUUUAGGCGAGGUUUUCACAAGAAUAGAGAACCAGAAAGGAAUGCGUACACAAGUUGGUUGUUUUGCUUUACUUUGAGAGAAAUGUAUGUUAAUAAUUCAUUUAGUUAUAUAUUCGCAAUUCUAUCACAAAUAUUUUAUAAUAAAAUAUCAUAUAUAAUAUAUUUUUUUUUCGUUUAUGUAAACAUCCGUGCAUAGCGCGGACACUUUAAUAAUAAA